AAAGCAUUCAUUUGAGCAUGAUGCGUAUUUGUGAAUUCUCUCAAGAUACUGCAGGAUGCCAAUACCAGGUGCCUUCAAGGCAUGGAAUUUGGUGACUUGCCCUGGAUCCGCAAUGGCAAGCGGGGCAUUCGCACAAACGAGACGAUCAAGUACAGCUGCGAG
rnacentral:rRNA from 12 species